UUAAAAGCUGGAGACUCAUAGUGAGGCUGGAGAGAAAGGAUGCCAUUCACUCCCAUUACAUUUGAGAGAAGCCCGACAUUUCUACGACCGACAUCAAAACAAGGCAUCUCCCAGCAGAACGACCUAGAUGGAUAGAUAGCACUAAACCUCCUCUAAAAGAUAUACUUUUUUGGUUUUAGGGUGAACUGCCCCUUUAAAUGUUUGUUAAUUUUAUACAUUGGUUGAUUUAUAUAGGUAUGGUAAUUAUCCUGAGCUCUAGAAUUUUCUAUAAUUCUAGAGCUCUAUAAUGUUAGAACAAUUAUGGCCUGUAGGAGCCACGUGUCUCCUAGGGGUUUAUGUAGUAAUAUUUAGUUAUGUUUUUAUCUUGUUAUUAAUGUCUUAAUGCUUUCAUUUCUGUUUAAUGAUGUAUCUAAGAGGUGCCUGUCAAUUAAAACAUUCUUGGACCCUU